GUCAUGUGUCAAAAACGGGAAGCCGUGUUUUUUUUAUUUUUUUUGGGUUAACUUUAGUAUAGUCACCAGAAGUCCUUCUGGAUCGGUGUGAAAAAGGUUUUGCUGAAGGUGAUCAGAGGUUUUCUCAGCACAUCCGAAAUCUGGUUCUGUUUAGCUCAUUAUUUUAUUAUAGAUGGCUUUCAAUUAUGUGAGCGGUAUUUGUUUGUCCACCUUGUUGGAGGUCGAGAUCCGGAGGAUAAACUAAGCUUGAAACGGAAAGACUAAUAGACUUGAUGCACCACAUCAGAGGCCCCUGCCAAGCCGCCAGCCUUUCCUGACUCGGGCACCGGCGGGGGGAAACGCAGCUGCGGCCAACAUGGCGAGAGGUGUGAACUCCACCGAGUUUAAUGAGCCCACGGCGCAGGCGGAUUACGCGUCGGGUCAGAGGUGAGGGGACGGCGGCCAGAGAGGCUGCACCUAAUAUCCGUGAGGCAGAUUAACGGAGAAGAGAUCAAGUGUGCCAGUGUCCAUGAGAAUUCCAUCCCGUCGGUCCAGAGGGCCGCUAACUCAAAAAGUGCUGUUCGAAAUUCAAAGCUACCUUUCCUUCCAGUGUUAGUGUCGCAUGACCAAUGAAGCAUAACUUGAUUGGUUGGACACUGGAGGACUUCCAAUUCAUGAAGUAUAUUUGUGACGUGUGUUUUAAUUUCUAAGUUUGAAUCAUCAUUUUUUUUUUUUUUUUUUUUUUUUUUGUCACAAUCAAAAUAUAUAUUUUUUUAACUCAGCAUGUAAAGGGUUAGAAACUGUUGGUGUUUGUUCUGCGGUGUUACUCCUAUCAGUUCCCUCUCUAACAGGUAGCAUGCUCUAUGGGGUUUAAGUCUGUCCUCUGUCAUCUA